rnacentral:misc_RNA from 1 species
AAUAUGUGCUACAUGCAUUCUCUGAUAGAUGUGGUUAUUCCUAAUCUUAAAGAUAUUUAGAAUACGUGAUCACAAAAUAAAACCCCCAACAACCACCAUCAAGCUUUUGAGGUUUCUGUAAUAUCAUUUCCACAGCAUACUUGCACAGAAGAAACAUCAAUUCCUUAUCAUUAUUAUUUCUCAAUUUGCCAAUGGAUCUUCUUACCAUACAUGACAGAUAUCAUUGAGAAAUGCCAAAUAUUCCUCCUGUUAUCAAGCUAACAGUUUGCGUAUGAAGUUAAUUCCAUAAAGACUUCCAGUUUCGACAAGCACAAAGAGAUCCAAAUGGUAUGUAUGCUUCCAUGAAUUGAUAUGGUUUGAUGAAAAUACUUCUAUGGCUAGCCAAUUUCUUGUAGCCUGCUACUUUCUUAAUGUAAUUGCAUAACAUACUACAAGUCUGCAUAAAUAUUGUAGAAAGAGACGAUUCUCCUUAAUUUCAAUUAAU